rnacentral:lncRNA from 1 species
GUCGACUUUACGCGCGGAUCGAGCAAUAAACAGCAGCUGUUACUUAUGCUAUAUAUACUAGUUUCUUCUUGUAUUGUCUUAUUAUACCUUCUUAAACUAGUAAUGUAAUAAAUACUUGGUUUGGAUUCCAGUGUGUUGUUGACAUUAUAAAAUGAUUCUGUAUGUUAAUGUUUUUUGUCCUUAUAAACUUUGCUUAUAUUGUGGUUGAUUUGGGUACAAGUACUGCUCAGUGUUGUUUGGUUGUGAUGUUGAUUGAAUAAUGUAUUUCUCCAUCUCCUUUUCCCUUCAAAGGAGGCUUCCAAUUUGUUUGGUCAAUUUAAUUAUUAAUAUAGUCCCUUCUUAAAAAAAAUUGGUUCGUGAUCGUGGCUUCAAAAAAUUACUAUUAGAAUUUAAUUGUAACGCUAACCAACUUUUUGGUAAAAUAUUAAUGAACGAUUAAGAGGUGAAAUAUUUUUUUUUGAAAAGUUAGCGUGACAUCCGCUUCAUUUAUCGAAGAAGUGAAUUAAAGAAGGGAAUUAAACUAUAGAAAAAUGAAGAAGUGAAUUAAAGAAGCGAAUUAAACUAUAGGGACGAAUGGAGC